rnacentral:lncRNA from 1 species
AUCCCUCACAGGGGGUUACCCUGGCCAAACUGUAGUGGCCGCAGGACUGUAGUGGCCCAAGGACAGAGCAGGAGGUCUGCGUGUCUCUUCUCCUGCGUGGGCAUAAAUAUCUGUUCUGGUUCUCAGAGGAGGUAGCCAACACCCUUGGCUGUGAGGAUUUUGGCUGAGAUGGUGAGGAGUGCUGCAACCCAAGUGUGAUCCACCGCCAACUCCGUCAGUGCUUCAUACUGAGAAUGGCUCCGCAGCUACCCCACAGAACCAAGCGUUGCUCAGUGGAACUCACCUUGCCGAAGAGCAAGACUUUUCCUGGCUCCUGGACUGCUGCACAAACAUGGCUGCUUGUGUUGUUUGGGCUAACAGUUCAAGUAUCCCAGCAAGUCCUACUUAAUAAGCUAUCUGAUAAGGCUUGAUUGUGCUUCACUGUGUUUAAAUUUCUUGGGGAACUGUUUAGAUGAUGAAAGUGCUCCAGUUCCUGCAUUUGUGUAAAACUCCAAAAUUAUAAAACACAGCCUUUAGUGUCUCAAGGUCUCAGAUGAUUGAAAUACCAAAAGGAUUUGCAUAUUGAAGUAUUUUACUCAGUAUCUCAAUAUUAGCAUAGAUAAUACAUUGUGUAAAUAAUAUCUGUUUAUGCUUUGCUUUCUGUGUUACGUUUUGCUGGUGUGACUGUUAAAUAGAACAGUCAGAAAGCAAUUUUCUUCCUUGCAGUUCCAGAACCUACAGGAGGUAAAGGUGUAGAUUAUCUAGUUUUUUUAUCUCAGCAACAGAGACUGUGCCUUGCAUUUUUGAGACAUUCUUCUGAUUUGUUGAGCUUUAAACAGUAUUAUCAAAUUGUAGGUGGUGCUAUUUCUCUUUGGCAUUAUAUUUCCAUUAAAUAAUGUCUUUUGAAAAUGAUGUGUCCUCACAGACUGACAGUGUCUUAACAUUCAUCUGGAAAAAAAUCUGCAUUAAAUCUUAACUGAUCCUGGGU